GGAAUCUUCCACAAUGGGCGCAAGCCUGAUGGAGCAACACCGCGUGAGUGAAGAAGGGUUUCGGCUCGUAAAGCUCUGUUGUUAGAGAAGAACGUGCGUGAGAGUAACUGUUCACGCAGUGACGGUAUCUAACCAGAAAGGGACGGCUAACUACGUGCCAGCAGCCGCGGUAAUACGUAGGUCCCGAGCGUUGUCCGGAUUUAUUGGGCGUAAAGCGAGCGCAGGCGGUUUCUUAAGUCUGAUGUGAAAGCCUUCGGCUUAACCGAAGAAGUGCAUCGGAAACUGGGAAACUUGAGUGCAGAAGAGGACAGUGGAACUCCAUGUGUAGCGGUGAAAUGCGUAGAUAUAUGGAAGAACACCAGUGGCGAAGGCGGCUGUCUGGUCUGUAACUGACGCUGAGGCUCGAAAGCAUGGGUAGCGAACA
rnacentral:rRNA from 1 species